rnacentral:lncRNA from 1 species
UUGGAUGGCACCAUUUCUGCUCUCAAACAGUUUAAAAGAUCCCUGUGCAGAAAAAGACGUAUUUAGAACAUUUUGGUUGGUAAGGUGAUAUGUAACAAACUUGAGAUCUUAUAGGAUAGGAGAACACUAGGACACUAAUUAGGAACUGGUCCCAGGAACAAAGACCUUCUGGACUCAUCUGACAAGAUAAGAAUCAUCAAGCAUUCUUCCAGCAGAAAGUGACAAAGCCCUCCUUGAGCUGCUCAUGAGAAUUCACAAAUUUUUCAGAUAAAAGAUGCCUAUUUUAUUCUGGCUGAAAGCAUGAACAGAAUAAACAAUGAGCUCUGUGAAGAAUGUUCUAUGAACCCGAAUCAAACUCAAACUCCUGUGUCACUCCGGUACGCCUGAUCACUGGAUAUAACCACGUAUUGGUCCAGAACCUCCCUCUCUGUUACUACUCCCUUUGGAUUUAUCCAGUAGUCUUAGACGUCACCAGGGCCAAGCCAUGCAUAUAUAGAUUGAAAUGUUGUUUUCAAAACCUACUCAAGCUAUCUCUUGAUGAACAAGAUUAGUACCAUCUGAUUACAACCCUGAAGAGUCUAGAUUCCUUAUUCUGCAAAAUGGAUUUAUUGUAUCUCAAGGCACUGUGAAGUUUGCAGUAGCAUGUAUAGGCAAAAAGGAAAGUCCAAAGAGAGGAAAAGAAAGCAGGAGAGAUCUGAAAUGACACAAGAAGUGACUCAGAAUGGGAAGAUUGUGCACUCCUUGUUGUCCCCUAAUGCACAUGGAAGUAUGCAACAGAAGCUGUGAAAAUAACCCAGAGUUUCGCUCGUGUUGCCCAGGCUGGAGUGCAAUGACA